rnacentral:lncRNA from 1 species
UUGUUCCCCAACGUCGCUUUUGGUGCCCGAGAACAGUAGUUUUUGAAUUUCUGGAAUAAACUGGUAUAAGGCUAGAAUUGAUGUUCCACCUUUUUUCUGAAAUAAGCUUGUUUCCAGAUGAGAACAAAGUUAAUUAAAAUUAAAAUUUAAUUUUAACCACAGUAAAUUAUUAAUUAAUCUAAUUAAUAUAUUUAAAUUAUUAUUUAUUACUUAAAUAAUAAAAUAUUUAAUUUAUUUAUUAUGUAUAAUUAGUUAUUAAUAAUUAAAUAAUAAUUAUUAUUAAUUUAUUAUUUAUAAUUAAUUGUUAAUAAUUUUUAAUAAUUAUUACUCUCAAUAAUUAGAUAAUCGAUAUUAUUAUUAAUUUAUUAUUUAUAAUUAUUUAUUAAUAAUUUUUAAUUCGAUAUUAUUAUUAAUUAAUUAUUAUUAUUCUUAAUAAUUAGAUAAUCGAUAUUAUUAUUAAUUUAUUAUUUAUAAUUAUUUAUUAAUAAUUAUUAAUAAUUAUUCUUAAUAAUUAUAUAAUCAAUAUUAUUAAUAAUUUAUUAUUUAUAAUUAAUUAUUAAUAAUGUUUAAUUCGAUAUUAUAAUUAAUUAAUAAUUAUUACUAAUAAUUAGAUAAUCGAUAUUAUUAUUAAUUUAUUAUUUAUAAUUAUUUAUUAAUUAUU